GACGAACGCUGGCGGCGUGCUUAACACAUGCAAGUCGAACGGAAAGGCCCUGCUUUUGUGGGGUGCUCGAGUGGCGAACGGGUGAGUAACACGUGAGUAACCUGCCCUUGACUUUGGGAUAACUUCAGGAAACUGGGGCUAAUACCGGAUAGGAGCUCCUGCUGCAUGGUGGGGGUUGGAAAGUUUCGGCGGUUGGGGAUGGACUCGCGGCUUAUCAGCUUGUUGGUGGGGUAGUGGCUUACCAAGGCUUUGACGGGUAGCCGGCCUGAGAGGGUGACCGGCCACAUUGGGACUGAGAUACGGCCCAGACUCCUACGGGAGGCAGCAGUGGGGAAUAUUGCACAAUGGGCGGAAGCCUGAUGCAGCAACGCCGCGUGCGGGAUGACGGCCUUCGGGUUGUAAACCGCUUUCGCCUGUGACGAAGCGUGAGUGACGGUAAUGGGUAAAGAAGCGCCGGCUAACUACGUGCCAGCAGCCGCGGUGAUACGUAGGGUGCGAGCGUUGUCCGGAUUUAUUGGGCGUAAAGGGCUCGUAGGUGGUUGAUCGCGUCGGAAGUGUAAUCUUGGGGCUUAACCCUGAGCGUGCUUUCGAUACGGGUUGACUUGAGGAAGGUAGGGGAGAAUGGAAUUCCUGGUGGAGCGGUGGAAUGCGCAGAUAUCAGGAGGAACACCAGUGGCGAAGGCGGUUCUCUGGGCCUUUCCUGACGCUGAGGAGCGAAAGCGUGGGGAGCGAACAGGCUUAGAUACCCUGGUAGUCCACGCUGUAAACGGUGGGUACUAGGUGUGGGGUCCAUUCCACGGGUUCCGUGCCGUAGCUAACGCUUUAAGUACCCCGCCUGGGGAGUACGGCCGCAAGGCUAAAACUCAAAGGAAUUGACGGGGCCCCGCACAAGCGGCGGAGCAUGCGGAUUAAUUCGAUGCAACGCGUAGAACCUUACCUGGGUUUGACAUGGAUCGGGAGUGCUCAGAGAUGGGUGUGCCUCUUUUGGGGUCGGUUCACAGGUGGUGCAUGGCUGUCGUCAGCUCGUGUCGUGAGAUGUUGGGUUAAGUCCCGCAACGAGCGCAACCCUUGUUCACUGUUGCCAGCACGUUAUGGUGGGGACUCAGUGGAGACCGCCGGGGUCAACUCGGAGGAAGGUGGGGAUGACGUCAAGUCAUCAUGCCCCUUAUGUCCAGGGCUUCACGCAUGCUACAAUGGCUGGUACAGAGAGUGGCGAGCCUGUGAGGGUGAGCGAAUCUCGGAAAGCCGGUCUCAGUUCGGAUUGGGGUCUGCAACUCGACCCUCAUGAAGUCGGAGUCGCUAGUAAUCGCAGAUCAGCAACGCUGCGGUGAAUACGUUCCCGGG
rnacentral:rRNA from 1 species